rnacentral:rRNA from 1 species
UGGAGGGCAAGUCUGGUGCCAGCAGCCGCGGUAAUUCCAGCUCCAAUAGCGUAUAUUAAAGUUGUUGCAGUUAAAAAGCUCGUAGUUGAAUUUCGGGAUUGACACGUCGGUCGUGCCCUAAGGGGUAUGAACUGGCGUAGUCAAUUUCUCACCUUCUGGAGAACCGCGCUGUCCUUAAUUGGGUGACGCGGGGAACCAGGACCUUUACUUUGAAAAAAUUAGAGUGUUUAAAGCAGGCAUUUUGCUUGAAUACAUUAGCAUGGAAUAAUAAAAUAGGACGGCAUGAUUCUAUUUUGUUGGUUUCUAGGAUCACCGUAAUGAUUAAUAGGGAUAGUUGGGGGCAUUAGUAUUCAAUUGUCAGAGGUGAAAUUCUUGGAUUUAUUGAAGACUAACUACUGCGAAAGCAUUUGCCAAGGAUGUUUUCAUUAAUCAAGAACGAAAGUUAGGGGAUCGAAGACGAUCAGAUACCGUCGUAGUCUUAACCAUAAACUAUGCCGACUAGGAAUCAGACGAUGUUAAUUUUUUAAUGACUCGUUUGGCACCUUACGGGAAACCAAAGUGUUUGGGUUC